rnacentral:rRNA from 1 species
UACGGGGGGGGCAAGCGUUGUUCGGAAUUACUGGGCGUAAAGGGCUCGUAGGCGGCCAACUAAGUCGGACGUGAAAUCCCCAGGCUCAACCUGGGAACUGCGUCCGAUACUGGAUGACUUGAAUCCGGGAGAGGGAUGCAGAAUUCCAGGUGUAGCGGUGAAAUGCGUAGAUAUCAGGAGGAACACCGGUGGCGAAGGCGGGUCUCUGGGCAAUAACUGACGCUGAGGAGCGAAAGCGUGGGGAGCGAACAGG